UUAGAAUGGAUGGCUGCAGUUCUGGUGGAGGGCGGUUUUUGCCGUCUCAUCUACAUACGAAAGGUUGGAGGAAGCUUAUAUGGCAAUUUUGGUUUUGGAGUUAUAAUAAUAAUUAAAGGAAAAGAUAAAAUAGAAAAAAAAAGUUUGUUGUUGGAAACACAUUAUUCGUUGUGAAGAUAUGUAAAUUAGUUUUUUUUAAAAGGAUGACCAGGAGAUGGAGUUGGCGUCUUGUCUUGUUCGUUGUAAUCAGUUGGUGUGCAGUUCAUGGAUACGUUCGUCGGAAGAAUUUAUGUGGUGGUUGGUUGUGUUUGUGAACUGGUCUGUUGGAAGCAGCUUCAACUUAAAAGAUUGAUUAUUUGUUAUUAUUACUUGUUCGAGGCAAGAUUGAUGUGGUUAAUUUGUAAGUUAUUUAAUUAUUAUUUAAUAAAAUUUGCUUUUGAUGAUCUUUUCUUAAUAGAAGUUGUUUAUUUAAUAUGGAGCACUGGUCAGG
rnacentral:lncRNA from 1 species